AUUUGGAAAGCUUUUCAAGAAUGUGGACCCUAGAACCUGUGAAGAGAAGAAAAAUAUAGAUUGUGUUGAUGAUGGAAUUCAGCCAAUAGAGACAAAUCAAAAGAGUAUGACUAAAGAUGGUGACAUCACUUCCUUGCUAAAGCUUCUUAGGAAAAAUAAUGAUGAAGAUGCUCGAAAACUAGCGGCAAAGACUUUGUUUGAUAGGCAAAUGUUGGAGGAUUACUUCAUUGGAUAAACCUUUCUUAUAAUGAUGAGGCUCUUAAAUAUUGUAGAAGUUGGAAAAUGCAUUUGUGUUUCUCUUUUCCUCCUUUUUUUUUCGAGU